GCAAGCGGUUGCGUAGCGGUAGUACGGGUACGGGGAUCAGGGUUCGAUUCCGGAGAGGGAGCCUGAGAAACGGCUACCACAUCCAAGGAAGGCAGCAGGCGCGCAAAUUACCCAAUCCAGACAUUGGGAGGUAGUGACGAGAAAUACUGGGGGCGCUCCAAGCGAGUGCCAUCCGGAAUGAACGUAACAUAAAAGAUUCGAUGAGGACCUACUGGAGGGCAAGUCUGGUGCCAGCAGCCGCGGUAAUUCCAGCUCCAGUAGUGUAUAUCAACAUUGUUGUGCCUUCAAAACGGCUCUCUGAUGAAGUUAGGAUAUACAAGAGCUGCAAACAGGGGCGUGCAAAGUGCAGGUCUUGGUCUUUGACGCGCGCGACCGGUCGCGCCUUUCGAGGCCGGCCUGGGAGGUAUUGAGGGAUGCAGCUCUUUGUCGCGCCUGCGCGCUGGUUGUGGUCUUGAUUGAUUGCGGCUAGCCGCCGGCGGAGUGUGCCUUGAAUAAAGCAUAGUGCUCAAAGCAGGCGUACGCUCCGCGUGUAAUAGCAUGGAACGAAUAAAUGGACCAAAGGGGCGGUGCGAGAGAAUUGCGCUGCUCUGGGUUUGAAUAGUGUUGGUUUUGGACCCGGUCUCAACGGUUAAAAGGGACAUUUGAGGGCAUUGGUACUUUGUGGCGAGAGGUGAAAUUCUUAGACCCACAAAAAGACCGACUAGUGCGAAAGCAUUUGCCAAGGGUGUUUUCAUUAAUCAAGAACGAAGGUCAGAGGAUCGAAGACGAUCAGAUACCGUCCUAGUUUUGACAGCAAACGAUGCCAGCGUAGGGUCAGGGCAGCCACUAGCGUCGAGCUAGCCGUGCUACCUUGGGCCUUAGGGGAAACCUAGCUUUCGGGCUGCUGGGAGAAUAUCGCUGCAAGGCUGAAAUUUAAAGAAAUUGACGGAGAGGCACCACCAGGAGUGGAGCCUGCGGCUUAAUUUGACUCAACACGGGGAAACUCACCAGGUCCAGACAUUGGUAGGAUUGAAAGACUGGUAAAUCUUUUCAUGAUUCGGUGAAUGGUGGUGCAUGGCCGUUCUUAGUUGGUGGAGUGAUCUUGUCAGGUCUAUUCCGGUAACGACCAAGACCACGGCCUUUAGUUGAAGAGCAGUAAAAGUUGGCGGCGUGGCCUUUGGGCUGUCGUUGCAUAAGACUUUGCUGGCCAACUAGAGGGACAACUGGCGCCGCAAAAGCCAGGGGAGGCGUGGCAAUAACAGGUCUGUGUAUGCCCUUCGAUGUCCUAGGCUGCACACGCGCUUACAUAUGGCAAGCAGCAGAAAGGGUUGCUCUGGGUCGAGAGGCCCGGCCAAACUGGCAACUGCUGUCGUGAUUGGGAUUGAGCCUUGUAAUUAUUGCUCAUGAAAGAGGAAUUCCUCGUAAGCACAAGUCAUCAGCUUGUGUUGAAUACGUCUCUGCCUCUUGUACACACCGCCCGUCGCUACUACCGAUUGAAUUGCUUCUAAAGCUGGCUGGACCGGCGCUGGUGCUGAGUAAUUGGCGCUGUAGUGCUGGGAGGCCGACGAUGAUGCCAUCGCGUUGCCC
rnacentral:rRNA from 1 species